rnacentral:rRNA from 1 species
AUGAACGUUGGCGGCGUGGAUUAGGCAUGCAAGUCGUACGGGUCGGUGUAGCAAUACAACGGCAAGUGGCGAAAGGGAGAGUAACGCGUAGAUACCUACCCUCUGGUCGGGGAUACCGCGGCAUAACCGCAAGUAAUACCCGAUAAAAUCUCCGGAUCAAAGGUGUGAUUCCGCCGGAGGAGGGGUCUGCGUUUCAUCAGCUUGUUGGCGAGGUAAUGGCUCACCAAGGCUAAGACGAAUACGGGGUGUGAGAGCAUGCCCCCGCUCACUGGGACUGAGACACUGCCCAGACACCUACGGGUGGCUGUAGUCGAGAAUCUUCGGCAAUGGGCGCAAGCCUGACCGAGCGACGCCGCGUGCGGGAUGAAGGCCUUCGGGUUGUAAACCGCUGUCGAGGGGGAUAAAGUGCAGGUGGGUACUCCCAUCUGUUUGAUAGAUCCCUGGAGGAAGCAUGGGCUAAGUUCGU